UACGUAGGGGGCAAGCGUUGUCCGGAAUCAUUGGGCGUAAAGAGCGUGUAGGCGGCUCGGUAAGUCCGCUGUAAAAGUCCAGGGCUCAACCCUGGAAAGCCGGUGGAAACUGUCGAGCUAGAGUCCGGAAGAGGCGAGUGGAAUUCCUGGUGUAGCGGUGAAAUGCGCAGAUAUCAGGAGGAACACCAAUGGCGAAAGCAGCUCGCUGGGACGGUACUGACGCUGAGACGCGAAAGCGUGGGGAGCAAACAGG
rnacentral:rRNA from 1 species